UACGGGGGGGGCAAGCGUUGUUCGGAAUUACUGGGCGUAAAGGGCUCGUAGGCGGCCAACUAAGUCCGACGUGAAAUCCCCAGGCUUAACCUGGGAACUGCGUCGGAUACUGGAUGGCUUGAAUCCGGGAGAGGGAUGCGGAAUUCCAGGUGUAGCGGUGAAAUGCGUAGAUAUCUGGAGGAACACCGGUGGCGAAGGCGGCGACCUGGGUCGAUACUGACGCUGAGGUGCGAAAGCGUGGGGAGCAAACAGG
rnacentral:rRNA from 1 species